ensembl:snoRNA
UGGCCUGAAGUGAUGUUCCCAGUUCAUGUCUCUUCUCUGAGAUGUCUCAUGGAGAUAGACAGAUGCGUUUCUGAUCAGGCUU